rnacentral:lncRNA from 1 species
CAACAUAACCAUAAAUGAAAGUCAAGUCCCACUUAUUUAACAUGGUUGAAGAGCAACAUUAAGUUUCAUUUAACAUCCAUACUUUUACAUUAAGUUUACAGUACAUCCCAUUGCCACUUUCUUUUAGUCUAUACAUACUCCACCCAAAGUAUAACUCAACAUAGAAUACAAUCCUAAAAUAUAAUCUCCCAAAAUGAGCUCCCUACA